rnacentral:rRNA from 1 species
GACGAACGCUGGCGGCGUGCUUAACACAUGCAAGUCGAACGGUAAGGCCCUUCGGGGUACACGAGUGGCGAACGGGUGAGUAACACGUGGGUGAUCUGCCCUGCACUUCGGGAUAAGACUGGGAAACUGGGUCUAAUACCGGAUAGGACCACUGCCUGCAUGGGUGGUGGUGGAAAGCUUUGGCGGUGUGGGAUGGGCCCGCGGCCUAUCAGCUUGUUGGUGGGGUGAUGGCCUACCAAGGCGACGACGGGUAGCCGGCCUGAGAGGGUGACCGGCCACACUGGGACUGAGAUACGGCCCAGACUCCUACGGGAGGCAGCAGUGGGGAAUAUUGCACAAUGGGCGCAAGCCUGAUGCAGCGACGCCGCGUGAGGGAUGACGGCCUUCGGGUUGUAAACCUCUUUCAGCACUGACGAAGCGCAAGUGACGGUAGGUGCAGAAGAAGGACCGGCCAACUACGUGCCAGCCGCCGCCGUAA